GAAUCCCCGAUCCAAAAAGGCAGAGACCGAGAGGGAGAUCUCAUCUCGGCACGUUCGUCGCCUCGUGCGCAUCACCACUUCACCACAAUCCCCAUUUCCCAAAGCUCGACCAAAGCCGUGACACUCCUCCCCGCCGCGGCCCAAACCCUAGCCACCCCCGCCGAUCCCAAUGGCCGCCGCCCACCACCGGCCCCUCCACGCCCUCCUCGGCGGCGGCGCAGUCGCCGACCUGCUCCUCUGGAGGCGGAGGAACGCCUCCGCGGCGGCCGUCGCGGGCGCCACGCUCGUCUGGUUCCUCUUCGAGCGCGCCGGGUACAGCCUCGCGUCGGUCCUCUCCAACGCCCUCCUCCUCCUCGUCGUCAUCCUCUUCUUCUGGGCCAAGUCCGCCUCGCUGCUCAACAGACCUCUUCCACCACUGCCUAAUCUAGAGGUCUCAGAUGGGGUCGUUGAGAAAGUUGUAGGUCGGGCUCUUGUAUGGAUAAACAAGGUGUUGGCUGUUGCCCAUGACAUUGCCAUCAAGAGAGACCGGACAGUUUUUAUACAGGUUAUAAUGGCUCUAUGGGUGGUUUCAUGUAUUGGGAUGCUCUUCAACUUCUUUACGCUCAUUUACAUUGGUGUACUACUCGCUCUGUUGGUUCCCCCGGUAUAUGAGAGGCACCAGGAUGUUAUUGAUGAAAAGGUUGGUUUAGCACACAGCAUACUGUCAAGGCAGUUGAGUACCGUCGCUAGCAAGACAGGGCAACCACCUAAACAAAAGAAGGCUGAGUAGAAGAUAUUUUGGCCCAUUUGGAAGCUCUCCAGUUGUCCUACUAUGUUACAAACACCGUGAUCCAUCCACCGCUGAGAGUAUUUCUGGAUAUCCAGGGCAUAAUGUUUAACUGCUGAUACGUGGGUUUAGAUGCACGCUCUUCAAUCUGGGAAGUGGAAUGAUUUGUAUAUUGUUUCCAUGAACAUGAAACUUGUCGAGGUUUACCAUGGGCACAUCUUGUGGAUAAUGCUGUAUACCUUUGCUCGCAACAUAGCUCUCUCUACGUGCGAUGUUGUGUCUUGCAUGUACAAAUGCGGUGCUUGCUCGUGUCUGUCGUUGGUUCUGUAUGUCUAUUCUGCAGUAUCAUGUCGCAACAUGAUUCCUAAGGGUGGUUGCACUGAAAAGGUACCACGUGUAGCUGGGGAGUUGUAUGCUGUAUAUACUAACCACUUGCAAUGCGUGCUCUGCGUGUUUGAACUUUGAGGCCACUUUUUGAACCCAAAGUUCCAGCUCAAAGGUCCUUAAUUGACG
rnacentral:rRNA from 1 species